UAUAAAGCGAUAAUGAAAAAAUAGUAGCUUAUGUUCGUUUUAGAAGAGAGCUAGCGGUUGGUGAGAGCUAGUAGACAGCAUAGGUGAAUGGAUUUUCUAGCUACAAGGAGGAAAUGCCUUGUCGUAGUUGCUGACGUUACAAGCAAUCGAGUGGGCUAAGCAAUUAGCCAAUGAAGGUGGUACCACGGCUCUCCGUCCUUUAC
rnacentral:ncRNA from 1 species